rnacentral:rRNA from 1 species
CGUAGGGGGCAGGCGUUGUCCCCAAUGACUGGGCGUAAGGGGCGGGCAGCCGGAUGUUUAAUUCUGAGGGGAAAGCUGGGGCCUCAAUUCCGAAAGGGCCUUGGAAACUGGUUUUUUUGAAAAAUGGAAAGGAUAGCGGAAUUCCGGGGGUACCGGGGAAAGGCUUAAAUUUCGGGGGGAACACCCGGGGCAAAGGCGGUUUUUUGGCCUUUAUUUGACGUUGAGGCCCAAAAGCGUGGGGAGCAAACAGGAUAAGUUCCCUGGGUAGUCCACGCCGUAAACAAUGAGUGCUAGGGGUUGGGGGUUUCAACCCCCCCGGGGCCGCAGU